CUGUAAUGCAACUCAGGUUGGAAUAAAUGACACUCAGACAGGUUUUACAAAUUAACACUCACACGGGUGAGAGCUGUGGUCAGCCUUUAUUUAUACUCAAGCAUGUUUGCGUCUCAAAAACAUACAGGAAGAGAUAACAUACCAUUGUACUGUGUGCAGGCUUCCUGCUGAGCUUGCACAACGUAACUUCUCUAGUAAAAAAGAGCAAACACAUCUAGAAAACCUUAAAUGAAAUGUACUUCUAAACAUAAACAUAAUAAAAAUCUUUCAACAUUCCCUCCUGUUGUUUGAUCUUUUCUCCUAUAUAUAUACAUAGCAACUCACUAACACUGUAUCAGUCUAUGGCUACUUGUAAAACAUUUUUAGCCAGGACAUCAUUAAAUAGUGGGUUUUUUGAGUAAGUUAUAUCCAAAUGUCUAUCUCAUUAUCAUCUUCUUCAUUCUGUGGUAGGGUGAUGUAAGCAUUAAUUGAAACAGUUACCAUUUUUGACACCAUGUUUUUCAAACAAGGUAUGACGCAUGAAGUGGAAAGACACAAUAACAAUAGUAGAACACCAAUGAAAACAAGUCCUUUAAUCAGCAGGGAUUUCCAAGAGCCGCUUAAAAACCACAUGAGCCAGUCUUCUGUGUUUGUAACAUAGUCUUGUUGCUGUGCAUCCCUGAGUUGUCUAAGUGUUUUCAGAGCAUCAGUCAUGUUGGACGAGUGUACAUUAUCUGGAAUGUAUGUGCAGCAUGUGUUGUUAAAGAGGACACAUAGUCCUCCUUUCUCAGCGCAUUUUUUCCUGUGCCCACCCAAGGAAACAGGGCAUGAAGUGCUUUCUGUCCAGUGGUCCAGAGUUUGAAUUCCUGUGGGACAUCGGAGCCCCAUAUUCGAUCGUGUGGUUCUGGACCGGUGUCAGUUGAACGCCGUCGUCUGUUGCGUUGGGGGGCAGCAUGUAGUACGUUUUUGGUCCACACACCCAAGCUGUCCCCUGGACCCAGUAUGUGCCACGCUUAAAAGUCAUAUCUGCAUCGGCAUUGUCCUUCCAGACUAUACUGCAGUUCUUGGUUCGACCAAGUUUUGUCCUUCCGUAUGAGAAGUCGAAACAUAUCGGGUGACGUUCUUCACUCUGCAAGAAAGCUGGA
ensembl:lncRNA